CCUACCCCUAGAGCCCUUGCAGGUGACUGUGUCACAUGUGUGUUGUGUCAGUAGACAGAGAGGAGCACGCCUAUGUCUACACUUGGUGUUCUGACCUAAGAUCAUCUGGACAAUUGAUUAGUAGCCUUGCACU